UUUUCUUUCUUUUUUUUUUUUUUUUUAAUCAUAGAAUCAUUUAGUUUGGAAAAGACCUUUAAGAUCGAGUCCAGCUAACCUAACACUGCCAUGGCCACCACUAAACCAUGUCCCUAACUACCACAUUUAUACAUCUUUUAAAUACCUCCGGGGAUGGGGACUCCACCACAUUCCUGGGCAGCCUGUCAAUGAUUGACACACCUUUUGGUGAAGGGAUGUUUCCUAAUAUCCAAUCUAAACCUCCUCUGGUGCAACUUGAGGCCAUUUCCUCUCAUUCUAUGACCUGUUACUUGGCAGAAGAGACCAACACCUACCUUGCUACAACCUCCUUUCACGUAGUUGUAAAGUGCAAUAAGGUCUCCCUUGAGCCUCACGUUGUCAUUUUCUAACUGCUGCAGAAGGUCAUGAUGGACUUCACUUUCCCAUAUUCUCAUAAUUUCCUAUCUCCGAUGAUUCUGCAACUUCUGCGAAGUAUGGUGCUUUCUGGGAGUCUUGUGGACUUUGCAAUGGCUUCAAUUAAAUGGAAGAAUUGCAACUUGCCAGCCAGUGAAUCCAUUGUCAAAAUUUUGGUUGGACUUGUCACCUUGUGCAUCCUUAACCAUGCUAAGCUGGAGAAAAGUGAUUGGCCAAAGCAUUGCAGUGACUUCCACAGUACACAAAGCCAAUUUCUGCCCUCCUUUCUACUAAUGGCUUUCCACAGGAGCUGCUCUGCCUACUGAGGGAUCCCCUCCUCUGCAGCCCCACCUACCAGCCUUAUUGAAGGCUAUGGGGUCCCAGAAGAGACCAUGCCUGAGGGUAGACGGGCACAAAGGCUCUCUAAAGAAUAUAUCCCUGGAAAUGUUAUACAGCCUGAGGAAAAUGUUCACAAUUUGGAAGGGGUUCAGGAAACAGUCAUGACGGAUACAACAGGACAAGCAAACAUACCUUGGAGAGAAAGAGAGGGAAUGCAGAGGCCCUGUUUAGCUCAACAAGAAGCAGGUAGGAGGAUGCUUUUGCUCACAGUCUACAGCUGACUGCAGGGGGGAGAUUGGCCAGAAUAAAGGGUUCUUUAGUCUGGAUGUGAACAUGUAAAAAGAUCCAGCAUUGAGGAUACGUACAUUCCAUAGUAGUUAAACACUUGAAUUGCUUACUGAAAUCUGUGGUGAAGUCAUCUGGAAAUAUCUCAGUUAAGAUCGCAUGUUCUUUAAAGUGUUUUUCAUUACAGGCAGGAGCCAGCACAGUGAAGUCCUUAAGGGCAAUAUCUAGAUGCUGAUCUCUGAGUCAAAUCCUCCCCACAACAUUUUUCCUUCCAGUCCAGCAUAUUUAUUUCACUGUCUGGCAGGAGAUGAAAAGCCACCAUUUUUGUACCUUCUGAACACAGACAGCCUCUCAGAGCCAGGAGCUGUUAGAUUUGCUUGGGAUAAGCAAUUAGUUCUGGAGUGAACUCUCCUAUGCCAUCUGCUCAUGGCUCAGCACUUAGGACUGUGCCUGCACCUGCAUCAGAGUGUAAAUUGGGUAGGUUUGUACAAUAGAGGCAGGAAAACAAGUUAAGUGUUCACAGUGGUAUCUUCUCUUUACAGAAUCUUUGAGUCCAGUUAAACAAGACUGCGUGACUUUACUUAGUAUUGCUCUUCAGCAGGACUGUAGAUGGCACGCUAAGGUCUAUCGAGUUAGUAGCACCAGAGGCAGCCUUAUUCAGACAGCCUAAGAGCAGAACAACCUCACACACAACAAAAUACUUACUUCAUAUUUAUCAGCAUGCACUCCGGAUGCACCAGUGGGCCUUAGAUGCCCUUACCAGACUUAGUGCCCUGACAACAUUUUUCCUAAUAACUUUUCAUUAACCAUAGCUUGGGAGAUGAUUUAGAUUCAGUGGACAGGCCCUUUCUGAGAAAAAAACUACCUUUAAAUCUCCUUUACUUUUAUCUUUAUACUUCUGUUGUAUUUUUAUUUAGUUACUAGUUCCAGAAAGUGUUUUAUAAGAAUUUAUUUUCUUUUCUCAGUGUCUGUAUCUGGUUAUCACAACAUAUAAUCUUUGGAUAGCAAAAGCAUAAUGGUGUUUUGAGCAGUUACAUUAAGGACUUGAUGCUAGUUAUCUAGUCCCAUCAAAUAUGAAUUUCAGCUAAACACAAGUUGUUGGAAUAAAAGAAGAUUCUUUUGUAAUUUCUGUUUUCUGAAUAUUGUGUUCAUAGUAUUAUAAAAGCCUGUAUUCUCCUCAGCUAUUUGUCUGUACUAUUAUGAAGCCUAGCUGUUCAAAGCACAGUUGGACAAUAACACAGUCUUCUCUAAAUCACUCAGGUACAUACCACAUUGCUUUAGUAAAUGUUUUAUUGUCAGAAAUGUUGGAAAGGAUCACUUGAAAAGUUCUGCUUUUUUGGCCAAAACUGAUAAAAGUGUUCAGACUGAAUAUUGAAAAGGAAGAUUACACUGAAUUAUGUACAAUUUAGGAAGGGAAAAUUAGAUACAGGUAGAAAUUUGGAUUAGAUUCUGAGUGUAGCAUAAUUUCCAAGAUAAUCACAGUAGUCAGAUAUUGUGAUAAUGCUGUCUAAUCGCAAGGACACCUGCACAUUUUACACAAACUACUUCAGAGCUAGAGCUUCUCUUCAGGGGCAUCAUCUCUACUACUUCUAUUGGGGGAAAUCUUCUAGUUCUGCGGUUGGGACACUGUGCUGUGGGGUGUGAAAAUGGGUCGGUGUCCUCUUUGGAAAUGGCAGGAAAUGAGCACAGGUUUUACACUUUCUGGCCAGAAGAUUGCUGCUGCUGCUGUCACCUGAGAAAAGGGAUUGGUCCCUCCCUACUGCUUUUAGAAAGCGGUUUGGAGAAAACGCAGGGUAGUUGGUGAAUGUCUCCUGACAACAUGGAUCCGCAUGCCACAGGGCAGGAAAUGGGCAGGACUUCAGUUCUUCCUCCUGGUACCUACCCAAACUCUCUUAGGUUGCUGACUGCUGUGAAAGCUGU